CCUACGGGAGGCAGCAGUAGGGAAUCUUCCACAAUGGGCGAAAGCCUGAUGGAGCAACGCCGCGUGGGUGAAGAAGGUCUUCGGAUCGUACAACCCUGUUGUUAGAGAAGAAAGUGCGUGAGAGUAACUGUUCACGUUUCGACGGUAUCUACCCAGAAAGCCACGGCUAACUCCGUGCCAGCAGCCGCGGUAAUACGUAGGUGGCAAGCGUUAUCCGGAUUUAUUGGGCGUAAGGGGAACGCAGGCGGUCUUUUAAGUCUGAUGUGAAAGCCUUCGGCUUAACCGGAGCAGUGCAUUGGAAACUGGGAGGCUUGAGUGCAGAAGAGGGGAGUGGAACUCCAUGUGUAGCGGUGAAAUGCGUAGAUAUAUGGAAGAACACCAGUGGCGAAGGCGGCUCUCUGGUCUGUAACUGACGCUGAGGUUCGAAAGCGUGGGUAGCAAACAGGAUUAGAUACCCUUGUAGUC
rnacentral:rRNA from 1 species